rnacentral:rRNA from 1 species
ACCUACCCAUGAGCAGGAUGAAGCGAAAGUAAAAUUUCGUGGAGGUCCGAACCCACGAGCGUUGAAAAGCUCGGGGAUGACUUGUGGGUAGCGGUGAAAUUCCAAUCGAGCCCGGAGAUAGCUGGUUCUCCCCGAAAUAGCUUUAGGGCUAGCCUCAAGGUGAGAGAUACGGAGGUAGAGCACUGAAUGUCCUAGGGGGUAUUGCACCUACCGAAGACUAUCAAACUCCGAAUGCCGUCAUCUUAUACUUGGGAGUCAGACUGUGGGUGAUAAGAUUCAUAGUCGAAAGGGCAACAGCCCAGAUCGUCAGCUAAGGUCCCUAAAUGUAAGUUAAGUGGUAAAGGAUGUGGGAUUGCACAGACAACCAGGAUGUUGGCUUAGAAGCAGCCACUCAUUCAAAGAGUGCGUAAUAGCUCACUGGUCGAGUGAUCCUGCGCCGAAGAUUUCCGGGGCUAAAACUU